UUUUUCAGCUCCCAUUUUGUGUCCAGUACUGCGUUGAGUCCUGGGGAUUCAAAGAUUCCGUUCUUCUUGUUUGGGUAGCUGAGACCUAUCAGAAGUGCUUCAGGGGCCAGCUCAGUUUCCUGAUACGAAAAAAGUAUGCAAGAGUGGAUAGACCAGAGUGCUCCAGUGGCCCCCAUGGUUCUCAAGCUCUGAUUCUAGGUAAGGCUCUGCUGGAAGGAAUUGCCAGAUGCAAGCCCUAGAUGCUGCUGAAUGCACUGAAGCCCAGGGGCCCAGCAACCCAGUAGCCAGCCAGCACCUGCCAGACUCUGACUCCUCUGUAGAUUAAUUGCAAAUCACGGAGAAUAUCACAAAAUAAAUCACACAAUAAA
ensembl:lncRNA novel transcript